GACGAACGCUGGCGGCGUGCUUAACACAUGCAAGUCGAGCGGUAAGGCCCUUUCGGGGGUACACGAGCGGCGAACGGGUGAGUAACACGUGGGUGACCUGCCCUCAGCCCUGGGAUAAGCCUGGGAAACCGGGUCUAAUACUGGAUAUGACUCCAUGACGCAUGUUGUGGGGUGGAAAGCCUUGUGCGGCUGAGGAUGGGCCCGCGGCCUAUCAGCUUGUUGGUGGGGUGAUGGCCACCAAGGCGACGACGGUAGCCGGCCUGAGAGGGCGACCGGCCACACUGGGACUGAGACACGGCCCAGACUCCUACGGGAGGCAGCAGUGGGGAAUCUUGCGCAAUGGGCGAAAGCCUGACGCAGCGACGCCGCGUGAGGGAUGACGGCCU
rnacentral:rRNA from 1 species